rnacentral:rRNA from 1 species
GACGAACGCUGGCGGCGCGCCUAACACAUGCAAGUCGAACGGAGCUGAGAGAAGCUUGCUUUUCUUAGCUUAGUGGCGAACGGGUGAGUAACGCGUGAGUAACCUGCCCUGGAGUGGGGGACAACAGUUGGAAACGACUGCUAAUACCGCAUAAGCCCACGAUCCGGCAUCGGAUUGAGGGAAAAGGAUUUAUUCGCUUCAGGAUGGACUCGCGUCCAAUUAGCUAGUUGGUGAGGUAACGGCCCACCAAGGCGACGAUUGGUAGCCGGACUGAGAGGUUGAACGGCCACAUUGGGACUGAGCCACGGCCCAGACUCCUACGGGAGGCAGCAGUGGGGGAUAUUGCACAAUGGGGGAAACCCUGAUGCAGCGACGCCGCGUGGAGGAAGAAGGUUUUCGGAUUGUAAACUCCUGUCGUUAGGGACGAUAAUGACGGUACCUAACAAGAAAGCACCGGCUAACUACGUG